UUGACCUCAAAUCAGGUAGGACUACCCGCUGAACUUAAGCAUAUCAAUAAGCGGAGGAAAAGAAACUAACAAGGAUUCCCCUAGUAACUGCGAGUGAAGCGGGAAAAGCUCAAAUUUAAAAUCUGGCGGUCUUUGGCCGUCCGAGUUGUAAUCUAGAGAAGUGUUAUCCGCGCUGGACCGUGUACAAGUCUCCUGGAAUGGAGCGUCAUAGAGGGUGAGAAUCCCGUCUUUGACACGGACUGCCAGGGCUUUGUGAUGCGCUCUCAAAGAGUCGAGUUGUUUGGGAAUGCAGCUCAAAAUGGGUGGUAAAUUCCAUCUAAAGCUAAAUAUUGGCGAGAGACCGAUAGCGAACAAGUACCGUGAGGGAAAGAUGAAAAGAACUUUGGAAAGAGAGUUAAACAGUACGUGAAAUUGCUGAAAGGGAAACGCUUGAAGUCAGUCGCAUUGUGUGGGAAUCAACCUUGCUUUUGCUGGGCGUACUYUCCAUAUGAUGGGUCAGCAUCAAUUUUGACCGUUGGAUAAAGUUCAAGGGAAUGUGGCAUCUUCGGAUGUGUUAUAGCCUUUGGUCGCAUACAACGAUUGGGAUUGAGGAACUCAGCA
rnacentral:rRNA from 1 species